AGCAGUAGCCGCGGUAAUACGAAGGGGGCUAGCGUUGUUCGGAUUUACUGGGCGUAAAGCGCACGUAGGCGGAUCGAUCAGUCAGGGGUGAAAUCCCAGAGCUCAACUCUGGAACUGCCUUUGAUACUGUCGAUCUGGAGUAUGGAAGAGGUGAGUGGAAUUCCGAGUGUAGAGGUGAAAUUCGUAGAUAUUCGGAGGAACACCAGUGGCGAAGGCGGCUCACUGGUCCAUUACUGACGCUGAGGUGCGAAAGCGUGGGGAGCAAACAGGAUUAGAUACCCCUGUAGUCCCUGUCUCUUAUAC
rnacentral:rRNA from 1 species